UCCCAAGAGGAGCCUGCUGCUGAAAACUCACCAUCACACGUCUGGACGCCACUUCGCACAGGAGGGUAAGGAGCUGGGGCCACGCUCUCCAAUUCCUGUCUUCUAGAUUCGAGGCAAAAUCUUGCCUGUGACAGUGUGUUUGCCAACAUGGCCCCCAAAAAGAAGACUGUCAAAAAGAACAAAGGAGAUAUCAAUGAGAUGACCAUAAUCGUAGAAGAUAGCCCCCUAAACAAAUUAAAUGCUUUGAAUGGGCUCCUAGAGGGAGGCAAUGGCCUUAACUGCAUUUCUUCUGAACUAACAGAUGCUUCUUAUGGCCCCAAUCUCUUGGAAGGCUUAAGUAGAAUGAGGCAGGAGAACUUCCUUUGCGACUUAGUCAUUGGCACCAAAACCAAAUCUUUUGAUGUUCACAAGUCAGUGAUGGCUUCAUGCAGUGAAUACUUUUACAACAUCCUAAAAAAAGACCCAUCUACCCAAAGGGUGGAUCUCAAUGAUAUCUCACCACUAGGCCUGGCUACUGUCAUCGCAUAUGCCUACACCGGAAAGCUGACUCUCUCCUUGUACACGAUAGGAAGCAUUAUUUCUGCUGCUGUUUAUCUUCAGAUCCACACCCUUGUAAAGAUGUGCAGUGAUUUUCUGAUACGGGAGAUGAGUGUUGAGAAUUGCAUGUACAUUGCUAACAUUGCUGAAACAUACUCUUUGAAAAAUGCAAAAGCAGCAACCCAAAAAUUUAUCCGGGAUAACUUCCUUGAAUUUGCAGAAUCAGAUCAGUUUUUGAAACUUACCUUUGAGCAAAUUAAUGAACUUCUCAUAGAUGAUGACUUACAGUUGCCUUCUGAAAUAGUAGCAUUCCAGAUUGCAAUGAAGUGGUUAGAAUUUGACCAAAAGAGAGUGAGGUAUGCUGCAGAUCUUUUGAGCAAUAUUCGCUUUGGUACCAUCUCUGCACAAGACCUGGUCAACUAUGUUCAGUCUGUACCAAGAAUGAUGCAAGAUGCUGACUGCCACAAACUUCUCGUAGAUGCUAUGAACUACCACUUACUUCCAUAUCAUCAAAACACAUUGCAGUCUAGGCGCACGAGAAUCCGUGGGGGCUGUCGAGUCCUUGUCACUGUUGGGGGACGUCCAGGCCUCACUGAGAAGUCCCUUAGUAGAGACAUCUUGUACAGAGACCCUGAAAAUGGAUGGAGCAAGCUUACAGAAAUGCCAGCCAAGAGUUUUAAUCAGUGUGUGGCUGUGAUGGACGGAUUUCUUUACGUGGCCGGUGGCGAAGACCAGAAUGAUGCAAGAAAUCAAGCCAAGCACGCAGUCAGCAAUUUCUGCAGAUAUGAUCCCCGCUUCAACACCUGGAUACACCUGGCCAGCAUGAACCAGAAGCGAACGCACUUCAGCCUGAGCGUGUUCAACGGGCUCCUUUACGCCGUGGGCGGCCGCAAUACCGAAGGCAGUCUGGCCUCGCUGGAAUGCUACGUGCCCUCCACCAAUCAGUGGCAGCCGAAGACGCCCCUGGAGGUGGCGCGCUGCUGCCACGCCAGCGCGGUCACCGACGGCCGGGUGCUGGUGACCGGCGGGUACAUCGGCAGCGCGUACUCGCGCUCGGUGUGCGCGUACGACCCCGCCGGCGACUCGUGGCAGGAGCUGCCGGGCCUGAGCACGCCGCGGGGCUGGCACUGCGCGGUCACUCUGGGCGACAGGGUGUACGUGAUGGGGGGUAGCCAGCUGGGGGCGCGCGGGGAGCGCGUGGACGUGCUGACCGUGGAGUGCUACAGCCCCGCGACUGGCCAAUGGAGCUACGCGGCGCCGCUGCUGGUGGGCGUGAGCACGGCGGGCGCCUCGGCGCUGCACGGCCGCGCGUAUCUCGUGGGGGGCUGGAACGAGGGCGAGAAGAAAUACAAGAAGUGCAUCCAGUGCUUCAGCCCAGAGCUCAACGAGUGGAUGGAGGACGACGAGUUGCCCGAGGCCACCGUGGGCGUGUCCUGCUGCACCCUCUCGAUGCCCAACAGCGUGACCCGGGAAUCCCGAGCCAGCUCGGUGUCCUCCGUGCCAGUCAGUAUCUGAACCCAGUAGGAGAUGCUGGCCUAUAGGAGCCCUCCCAAAAGAGGCACUGGACUCUGGCCCUCUCUUCCCUGGAUCUCUGAUGUCUCAUCCCAGAUGUGUGUUGUGUAGGGAGGUAAUAACACAUUCUACAGAGUACAUAUCCAUAGAAGCAUAUAGAGAUGCUCCUUAUUUCUAGCUGCACUUCUCCAGUGGAGCUUCCGAUCCAAUGGAACUGGCAGAUAACUACAAUCUGUUGUGCCGAGAGCUACCAAGGACAAGAGUAACAAACAUAAAGGAUGAUGUUUGUCCCGAUUCUACAAGGCAGAGAGGGUGACAUUUUCAACUUCUUUCUGGCACCAGCUCCCCUACAAGAAAAGAACACUAUAAGAUGCUGGACCCCUCGGUGGCAGAUGAAAUGACCGGACUGACCUUGAAACUCUGGGAGAAGAAACUGGAGCAAGAGCCUAAGCAUGUGGAAGGGGAUUCUAAGGACCCCCACCUCAGGCCAGGAAAUGAGGUCAGGCUGGAGUGGAGUGCUCUGAGGAGGAGGAAAGAGUUCCCACAGAGCACCUUCCAGCACCUCCUGGAGGAGGUCUCCCAGGCCCAGGGGAACGGGUGUCAACAGAGGAGGAGCCCCCCCACCACGGGCAUCUACCUGUGUCUCCCUGCCCCCACCAGUCCUGGAGCCACCAGGGAUUAUCCAACACUCUGUCCCCCAGCCUCUUGCCACCAUCACUAAACAGCUACCUCAGCAGCCACUCAUCUCAUAGAUUCCUCUCUCCAGGUCUUCCCCACUCAAAGGUCAGGAAGUAUUAAGGAAGGUCUUCUGCCUCACUCAUUGAUUUCUAGGAAUUCCUUACCUAUUCUAACAUGGGCCUUUUUCAAUACGCAAAUUGCAAGUGUUAAGUCCUUUGGUGACCUGCCUUUCAGUCUCUUUGUGGUGUCUUUGGAUGAACACACGUCCUUAAUUUUAAUCAUUUUGUUUUUCAGGCUUUCCCCCCACCCCCAAAAAAUAGAAUUUUAAGUUUGUUAUAAGUUUAACAAACUUAUCAGAUUUCUAAGAAUUAUUUAAACACUUGGAAAGGUUUAUUGGUCAAAAGAUUUUUAAGGCUAAAGACCUAACCUGAAAUACAUUAAAUAUACAAAUGCAGUGUAAAGUAUUUGAAGAUAUUUGAUGAACAGAUCCAUAAAUAGUGCCAAAUAUUAGUCAAAGAGCCUUACAAGUGAUUGCAAAAAUGUGCUUGAUAUAUAAUAAAAUAAGAUUUGUAAGCUGAACUUCAAACCUUAAGGGUUUUGAAUCUGUAACUAUAAUAAAUUUAUUACUAACUUCAAAAGCUUAAACAAGCCUCUGCAUAGUCCUUCCUGCACUUAAAACAGCCCUUAAAGUGUGCUGAAAAAUGAACACUUAACACUUUCAUCAUCAGCCCAAAUUCCUUUGGUAGUUCCUCUUAUGACAUGAUUUACACACAUCUCAGAACUUCAGUUACUCCUCUGAACUGGAAUUUAUCUCUGUGUCUAUGGGUGCUUAUUCCAAAAAUUCACAUUGAUGCUUAUCAAUUUAACAUCUAAGAGGUACUUAGUAAUGUAAAAUCACUAAGAUUUCCUGAUGCAAGAAGUUCUAAAGUUGAGGUAAACUGUAAAAUAACUGAAAUUUUAAGAAGGCAGUCCAAAUUAAUCUGCUAAUUUAGAGCUUCUCUGUGGCCCAGAAACUAAGCUAUCCAUGUUGGCACUUUGCACAAUCAGCAUAAUGCAGUGCCUUCUAGAAAAUAACCUGCUUCCAAUUACCUGAAAUUGAAAUUUAGGGACCAUCAGCAGAAACUCCAGCUAGCACAACCUGACAAGAGGCUGCAGCAAUAAAACAUGACGUCUAUAGACAGUAUGAGAUAAUAUUUUCCCAAUUCUACAAAUAUUUUUAGCAUAGGAAAUAGUGCUAUUAGCUUUGAAUUAUUUUCUAGUAGUGGUAGUUUUAAAGGAUAAAAUAAAUACAUAAUGGAUUGAAAAUACAGCACAGGGAAUAUAGUCAAUAACAUUGUAACU